rnacentral:lncRNA from 1 species
GAUCAGUUAGAGAUUCGUAAGUUACUCGCAGGACCCUCACGAUAUCCUUACAUAAUUCUUACCUUUUGCAACUUCAAACAUCAGACAUAGGCUUCCACAGAGUAGAAUAGUAACCCCUAAACGUUGAACCACAGAAAACUCAUCAAGAUCUUUCCAUCUAGUUCAUUUCCUUUCUCACUUGAACACCAGAAUUGUAUAACAAAGCUUUACCAUUUCAUUACUAAGCUAAAUAUAUUUUCUCUCAUAGCAGUAAGGCUACAAAACUUACCUUAACAUAGGCAUCUUAGAGCUCACCCU